rnacentral:lncRNA from 1 species
GAAGAGAGAAGCUUUGUUUAGAAGUCCUACACAAAAAGGUUUAGCAAAAAACUUAGGGACGGGUUCCUUCUUCUACUGACUUAUGUAAAGUGUUUUUUUUUUUUUUUUUUUUGAUAAUUAAGUUUAACACCUUAUUAAAAUUAAAACUGUCAGAAACAAGUUACAAGAAGUUAACAUGGACAGUGAGAGAGACACUCACUCUCCUUGCAGGCCUAAUCAACUCUUUAUUGUGCAGAUCUAAGUCACAUUAGGAAUAGGCAAGAUGUCGGUUGUUCAAAUGACUUCAUCACAUCACUUCAUCCUGAUAACAAAGUUAAAGCAAUUAGCAAUAAUCAACAUGUAUCAAGCAGAUUGCUUGAAGAGGCCAGACUUCUGGCUUCUUGCACAUACGAGUAACAAACACAAUGGGGUGAACAGGUAAGUUAAUUUCCAAAUGAAUAAACAAACCAUCUCAUGUCAUUAUGACCCUAUCAGUAUUGUUCCAUCAAAAUUUUUAUAAGAAUGAGAAGUACGGACAAACUGAUUUAAGCUACAAGAUAAUAUUCAGCUCUCAUAUUAAAAAUGUGUUAGUAUCAUAAUAACUGAGCUGCAUAAGUGCUUCAGCUUAGGAUCUACAUAAAAAAUACGAAAUUCCAUCAGUAAUUACUUACUCUUUACCUAGUGUCUUACCUCUCUUUCUUUCUUAAUGGCGUUUUCUGAAAUAUCCAGACCUACAACAUAACGUUCAGGGCCAACAAUUGCAAUCACAUGAUGAUCUUGUUGGCUAUAAUAAGUAAGUACAAUAUAACGUGCAAACUAAUAAAACAUAAAAAUUAAACAAGUUUGUUGAACAGUUUUAAUUAGAGACCAAAUGUUGUUACAUGCGUGAAAACGCCACUUUCACUUAUAAAUGACCAUUGCAUCAAAAUGUCAUGUCAUCAGAUAAAAUUUUAACAUUUUGGAACAUGUACUCACAUGCUGAAACAAUAACAAACAUGUAAACACUUACAGUGUCACAUACUGGGAUUAGAACCCUGCCUUUUGGAAGAGGAAGAGCAGCUGGUUUGUAGAAGAUUUAAAAUAACAGGUGUUGGUCCUCGCAAAUCCCCAUAGUGUUCAGUGCUUUUUCCUAGCAUUAUUUGUCCCAGGCACCUAGUCAUUCAAACUUAAACAAAAUUCAGAAAUUCAAUAGUUGUAAUGGACAGAACGACUUAGAAAUUAAACACAAGUUUUCCUUUGAGCUUCCAAUGUAGUCAAUUAUGUUGAUGUAAAAAUCCAUUAAGGCCAUUAUGCUAUGCUUCUUGAAGCAGAUUUACAAACAUUCUACAAAUAAGUCAAAGUGUUGCAAGGUUUCUGUUACAUGUUCGAUAAUCUAAUUCUCACUGGUAUGAUUAUGUAUUCACAUUAUCACUUCAAAUUUUCAUCAUCAUCAUCAUCAUCAUCAUCAUACUCAAAUUAUCACAAAUAAGAUAUUGAAUUCCAUGGAAAUUGAAGAAUAUACAAUUAAAUUAAACAACAAUAAAAAGAAGAGUAGAGAUGAGAUGAGAUGAGAUAGUAAGGAGAGAGUGUCAGACCUGUUGAAUCAUUGUUAACGAAUUGGUUCAAGUUAGGUAGAUUUUAGUUGUUGUUGUUGUUCGAAAUCUUCUCUUGAUCUCUUCUCUUUCACUUUGUUUCCUCAUGCUCCUUCGUUCCAACCUAUUGCAAGUUGCAACAACAAAGAUUUUUCACUCUUGUUGUUGUUAAAUGUAAAUGAAGGAAACUGCAAUUGGAUUUGGAGAGCGAACGAACAAGAUUACAAGAGUGUUGCGCGCAAGCAAACAUUACCAUCGCUCGCUCUCGCUCUCGCUCUCGAGUCUCGUCAAACCUUGGAGGAAGAUUGCCUUGGACUGGGCACUGGACUUGCUGAAUUUCUCAACCUAAAGGCAACAAUCUUGCUGUCUAUU